ACCGAACAAACAAGAUAUGCCAAAAUCUUAUUUUAGAAAGAACAAUUUAAAACUAGUCAAAUGCAACAAAAAUACAAUUAGGAAUUGAAUGAUGAACAAAACUUCAGUAUCGAACCUUUUCAGAAGCAAAAUUGAAGCACUUAAUUGGAUUCUAAUGUAUAAAACAUGUAUGCACACCCACAUCAAUAACUAAGAAAACAUCACUUAACUUGGAAUCCACUGAAUAUUCUCCAAACGACCCCAAUAGUUUCCAGAUUCUUCGAAUUUCGAACAUAGAAAUAGAGAUGGAAAGGAAAAAGGAUUUAAUUGAGCAAUAUUUCUUUAAUUAGUUCAAUUUGAAAGCCAUUACAAGUCAAGUUCGAAUUUCGAAUGCACACCCACAUCAACAACUAAGCAAACAUCACUUAACCUG
rnacentral:lncRNA from 1 species